UGGGGAAUUUUGGACAAUGGGCGCAAGCCUGAUCCAGCCAUGCCGCGUGUCUGAAGAAGGCCUUCGGGUUGUAAAGGACUUUUGUCAGGGAAGAAAAGGGCGGGGUUAAUACCCCUGUCUGAUGACGGUACCUGAAGAAUAAGCACCGGCUAACUACGUGCCAGCAGCCGCGGUAAUACGUAGGGUGCGAGCGUUAAUCGGAAUUACUGGGCGUAAAGCGGGCGCAGACGGUUACUUAAGCAGGAUGUGAAAUCCCCGGGCUCAACCUGGGAACUGCGUUCUGAACUGGGUGACUAGAGUGUGUCAGAGGGAGGUAGAAUUCCACGUGUAGCAGUGAAAUGCGUAGAGAUGUGGAGGAAUACCGAUGGCGAAGGCAGCCUCCUGGAAUAACACUGACGUUCAUGCCCGAAAGCGUGGGUAGCAAACAGGAUUAGAUACCCUGGUAGUCCACGCCGUAAACGAUGUCGAUUUGGAGGUUGUGCCCUUGAGGCGUGGCUUCCGGAGCUAACGCGUUAAAUCGACCGCCUGGGGAGUACGGCCGCAAGGUUA
rnacentral:rRNA from 1 species